ensembl:lincRNA
AUGGAUGGGAAUGCCCGCCACACACUCGGGGCUGACCCGAGACGGGCGUGUGAGGACCCCAGAGUGAGUUGGCUGCUGCUUGGUGCUACACAAAUGGACCCGGCACCGGCUCUCCGGGGAGCUGCUUCCUGGAUAGGGAAGGACAUGCAGCAAAGUCACAGAUCGGCGCAUUUCCCAGACAGGAUGGCUGGUCCAAGGCUGCGCUGUCACCUGCUCCGUGAGAACAAAGCCUCUCUCCCAGCCCCUCCCCAGCCUGCUGGGCACAGGGCCAGCCCUGUUCUGUGUUUCCAAACAUGCCAGUUUCAGUGGCAGUUUUCAUGGUUAUUAUCUCAUUAUGGUCUUGGCCUCUACACACCUUGGUUAUUGUGGAUGAAAACCACAAAAUCACCUUUCAGAGCAUCUGACAAAACCAAAACCCCAAAACAUGGAGGGUAUUGUUUUACUGGGGCAUUUUCACUUGUGGGAAAACAUCUCCCUGGUCCCACGAGAGAUCUCAUCAUCAAGAGCACGGACUUACUGGACGGGGCAGGGACUCACUGUCCAGGUGUCUGGUUGUUUCCAGACCUUGUUACCUUUCCUUUGUUCUCUUUAUAGAUCUGUGGAUAAAACCUCAGGACCCUACAAGUUCCUGAUUGCUUCAAAUGUGUUGUUUUUCAUUAAAAGAAAAUAAAUCAAUCUUGCUCUCUCCUCGCACAGCAGGACCAAUAAUCUUGGGGAGUGGAGGGACAGUUGAGACGGCUCUGGAAUGGGUGACGGUGACUCAAACAGCGAAUAUAAAACAGGAACGUGCUGUCUGUCGCAGGGCAGAUGCUGCUGGGGAGUAUUUAGAGCAGAUGCCUAGAAACAACCGGCAAGGAAAAGUCCUCAGGCAGUGCUGGGAAGAGUCCCUGGGUGGCACCCAGUGCGACGGUCAGUCCUGCUCUUCACUGGCCGCUGCCCCUGGAGAGAGCACUUUGUAGCAUUCACAGCAGCCCAGAAUCCCACCUCCCGCAGACUUACACCUCCCAGUGCUGCGAUCAAGGAAGUGAAACAGGAGAGAAUCGAAGAGAAUCAAGACUACUCUGUCCCAAAGCAGAACUCCUGGGCCGACUGUGUGCAGCAGUCUCAGCAAGGCCCGGAGAGUGGCCCUGUCACAGGCCAGGGCGCUGCACAGGGCCAUGUUGCAGGGACCCAAGGAAGCCUGGGCAGGAUGCAGAGCAGUAUCCAGAACCCAUGCGGGGCCGGCUCAGGAGGCCUCACUUGCCCCAGAGGCUCUGUGCUGACCCCUUUAUCGGCUUUAUCAGCUACCAGGGAGCAGGGCUGUCAGCACAGGACCCACACCGCCCUGGCCCGACUGCUGCCACAGUCCUUCCGCAUGUGUUGUAACUGGUUCUGGGAGCCACGACCAGAAACAACAAGUACCAUGUGGACCCUCGCAAGUUCUAGCUUGCAUGUCAAGUAUCAAAGACAAGUAGAGGAAUAAAAUGCUCCGUGUACCAAACCCCAUGAGUUUGAGGCAGUCCAGUGGCAAGGUGCCACUUCAUCUGAAACACAUCGCUGACAGUCUGACCCGCAUCAGAGCUUGGGGCCAGCACGUUGGGUAUAAACUCCUAACCUUCAGAUUUAAUCAAAGAGAAUUACCCGGAUUAAUAUGCUAACACUGAAGUAAUACCACACAGCUCUGACUGCACAGAUCAACAAACGACUGAACACUGCCAAACCCCUUCUAACUUGGAGGAGCAAAUGGAUUCCAAGAACAGAAAGUAAAGGAGGCUUAGGGUCCCAAAAUUUUCUUAAGAUAGAGCCCAAACUUUACUUAAUCGCGGUAGAUAUUUCAUCUUUUAAAUGAACAUUAAACCUAGGCAUGGUGGUGCAUACUUGAGAGGCUGAAACAGGAGGAUUGCAAGUUUGAGGUCAGCCUGGCAGCGUGGUAUACUCUGGCACAAAAUAAAAAUAGGAAGGGCUGGGGAUGGACCUCAGUGUCAGGCCGGACAUGGGCAAGGCCCUGGAUUCAACCCCCAGGGCUGACGAUAAACUACCUAAAAAGGCGGCACAUUGGUAUUCUGUAAACCUGUGUGCCGGAGACAAAGCGCUUCCCACACAGGAGAUGCUCCUUGGGAAAAAAUCUGCAAAACACCGCUGUGGCAACUUUGAAGAAAACAGUUACAUAAAAGUAGCACUGUUUUCUAAAGAUCAUCUUCCCUUGAACUAAUUUUUUUCAAAUCUUAGUUUCCCUACUACGAUAUGUUCCCGCGUCUGCCUCAUCUCUGUGGCUGAACGGAAGAGAAGUCUGGCAUUUCCUUGUUUGCGUUUCUGCUAAGACAUCAGUGAGCCUGUGUGUACAAACCCCUAACUGGACUCACCAGCGCUCUCACCACUCCCGGUGCAUCUCCCAGAUAGACACCCAGCGCACGCCGGCAGGGGGCUCCCUGCAGAGGCCUGGGCCAGGCCCGGCUCCUGCCCCAGCCCCACACUCCUCAGCACUGGCCUCCAGACGCUGGGGGCCACUUCUUGCUCCUGAGCUCUCUUGCUACAAGUUGACCAGGCCACACUUGAGUGGCCAGAGGCCCAGUUCCCAGCCAAGCAGGGUCUCGGCGGCAGCUGCUGUGCUCCUGUAGGGUGCACACAGCCUCGGGGAGACAGGGACUAGGGACUCCCCAGCAUUUGGCUCCCUGCCCAGACCAAUAAUUCUGCCAUGGACGGCAACUGAAAGAGCUCUACUUGACACCAACCUGGACAUUUUGGUGCCUAAGGCACAGGCGGGUGGGGCCCAGUUUGCCUCAGUGUACUGGACAGGUGGAGCGCGUCCAGCCAAGGGCAGGCGAGGCCAGUGGCAGAGCACACAGAGGAAGGCAGCCCCAAGCCCUGUGAUGAUCGCCAUGGCGUCCUUCCCACCGCGUCCUGGCACCCGGCUCAGAGCUCAGCACAGUGACCCGCUAUGGCAUUUGCCGAUACACAGAUCUCACAGUGACCCCCUUGGGGCGUUCAGCAUGGAUCAUGGGGGCUCCGCAGAGUGGAAAACCCUGCUGGGGACCCAGAAGUUAGCAAGGCCCAGCCCUUCAGAGGACCUGGUUGGCACUGAGAGGCGUCUGACACCAGACAGCAGGUCCUGGGCCAGGUGGGGGCACACAGGAAGGGCCUUAGGCCCCGCCUGGGGAGGGCAAGAGCGGAGGGGACAGGGUCUGUGAGCACGAAGACAGCACUCAGGCUGAGGCAGCUGCAGGGCUCGCAGGAGCUAAGCCUGAGCGCUUCAGUGUAGGGCCAGGGUGGGACAGCAACAGGCCCAAGGAAGGACGCUGCGCCAGGGCACUGGCUGGAAAGAGCUCUUCCCACGUCUCCCUGCUGUCCCGGAGCCCGGGCUGGCCUGUGAUGGACUCAGCCGGGCGAGGACAGGCAUGCUGUCAGAGGAUUGUGUGGCAUCCUGGUCCCGCAGGCAGGCCUCAGGCCACAUGCAGGCCUUGGCAGCCUCUGCAAAGUGCUUUUCAGUCAGUUUACAAAUGUUUUCUCCCUUUCCAAACAAAGUGCAUGCAGGCUAAACACCAGGAAGCACAUAAAUAAACUAAUGAAAAGUGUGCACACUCUGUUGUGGUGUCCUUUAAUACUUCUGAAGUUUUAGUCUUCCGAGUACAGAGCUUGUAUAAGAACAUCCAGGCUCCUCAGGCACGGUGGUGCCUGCCUGUAAUCCUAGCAUUCUGAGAAGCUGAGGAAGGAAGAUCCCUACUUUAAGACCAGCCUCAUGAGACCUUUAUCAAAAUUAAAAAAAGAUUUAAAGGUUGGGAAUAGCUCAGUAUGAAGCCCCUGGGUUUAAUCCCAAGUACUGCAAAAAGGAAAAAAAAAAAAAAAAAAAAGAUUACAGCCUUUACUUUACCUUCUGGGAAAAAUUAACCUGGAAUUUACAGGAAGAAAGGAAGGUUCUUGGCUGAAAAGGAGAGGUUGGUUGUGUGGGAGAGUUAAUCUAAGAGCAGUGAUGUGGAAAUCCUUGAUGUAAUCAUGAGAUGAUGCUCUCCUGCGUUUGAGAGGCAGCACACACACACACACACACACACACACACACUGUCAUAUGUACACACUUUCACACAUAUGGUCACACGUAUAGGCGCGGUCAUAUGAACACGCAUGUUCACUCACGUGGACAUGUGUACAUCUCACUCAUACACAUGGUCAUAUGCACACUCAC